rnacentral:rRNA from 1 species
AACUUCACACUGUGCGAAAGCGCGAUGAGGGAAUCCCAAGUGUUUGCUCGUAAGAGUAAACUGUUUCUUUGUUUAAAACGCAGAGAGAGUAAGGGCUGGGUAAGACGGGUGCCAGCCGCCGCGGUAAUACCUGCAGCUCUAGUGGUGAUCAUUAUUAUUGGGCCUAAAACGUCCGUAGCCGGUUUAGUAAAUGCCUGGGUAAAUCGUGUAGCUUAACUAUACGACUUCCGGGUAGACUGCUAAACUUGAGACCGGGAGAGGCUAGAGGUACUCCUGGGGUAGAGGUGAAAUUCUGUAAUCCUAGGGGGACCACCAGUGGCGAAGGCGUCUAGCUAGAACGGGUCUGACGGUGAGGGACGAAGCCCUGGGGCGCAAACCGGAUUAGAUACCCGGGUAGUCCAGGGUGUAAACGCUGCUUGCUUGAUGUUAGUUGGGCUCCGAGCCCAACUAGUGUCGGAGAGAAGUUGUUAAGCAAGCUGCCUGGGAAGUACGGUCGCAAGGCUGAAACUUAAAGGAAUUGGCGGGGGAGCACAGCAACGGGUGGAGCGUGCGGUUU